GCCAGGGCCUGAGAGCCUCGGCACAGCCUCGGACUUUCUUAAACGCCAAAGGGGCUGGAGACCAAGGCCCCUCCCUGGGCUGUGCCCGAAAACCGGAUCCUGCUGAUUCCAUGUGGUGAGGUCUGGUUUGGUUCUAGCUGGAGGAAGAGACUGAGCAAAUAAGUAAUCAUUCUAGAAAUGACUCGCCAAGCUCUCAAGCCUCAGAGCAUCACCAAGCAGACAGCUGCUACCUUCCUGUAUCAACAGGACAAAGGACUACUGUGGUCCCAGAGGUAACUAACUCUCUCAUGGGAAGGAACUGGACUGGACUCUGCAGAAGGGACCUUCUGGAUGAAUGAGGAACUGGGGGUACUAUGCUGACAGACUCCCUCCUGCUGCU